rnacentral:rRNA from 1 species
AUUGAACGCUGGCGGCAGGCUUAACACAUGCAAGUCGAGCGGGGUGAUGGUGCUUGCACUAUCACUUAGCGGCGGACGGGUGAGUAAUGCUUAGGAAUCUGCCUAUUAGUGGGGGACAACAUCUCGAAAGGGAUGCUAAUACCGCAUACGUCCUACGGGAGAAAGCAGGGGAUCACUUGUGACCUUGCGCUAAUAGAUGAGCCUAAGUCGGAUUAGCUAGUUGGUGGGGUAAAGGCCUACCAAGGCGACGAUCUGUAGCGGGUCUGAGAGGAUCAUCCGCCACACUGGGACUGAGACACGGCCCAGACUCCUACGGGAGGCAGCAGUGGGGAAUAGUGGACAAUGGGGGGAACCCUGAUCCAGCCAUGCCGCGUGUGUGAAGAAGGCCUUAUGGUUGUAAAGCACUUUAAGCGAGGAGGAGGCUCUUUUGGUUAAUACCCAAGAUGAGUGGACGUUACUCGCAGAAUAAGCACCGGCUAACUCUGUGCCAGCAGCCGCCGUA